UACAGAGGGUGCAAGCGGUAAUCGGAAUUACUGGGCGUAAAGCGUGCGCAGGCGGUUUUGUAAGUCUGACGUGAAAUCCCCGGGCUCAACCUGGGAAUUGCGUUGGAGACUGCAAGGCUAGAAUCUGGCAGAGGGGGGUAGAAUUCCACGUGUAGCAGUGAAAUGCGUAGAGAUGUGGAGGAACACCGAUGGCGAAGGCAGCCCCCUGGGUCAAGAUUGACGCUCAUGCACGAAAGCGUGGGGAGCAAACAGG
rnacentral:rRNA from 1 species